rnacentral:rRNA from 1 species
UACGGGGGGGGCAAGCGUUGUUCGGAAUUACUGGGCGUAAAGGGCUUGUAGGUGGCCAACUAAGUCAGACGUGAAAUCCCUCGGCUUAACCGGGGAACUGCGUCUGAUACUGGAUGGCUUGAGUGUGGGAGAGGGAUGCGGAAUUCCAGGUGUAGCGGUGAAAUGCGUAGAUAUCAGGAAGAACACCGGUGGCGAAGGCGGCUCUCUGGGCCUUACCUGACGCUGAGGAGCGAAAGCGUGGGUAGCGAACAGG